rnacentral:rRNA from 1 species
CCUACGGUGAGCAGCAGUGAGGAAUAUUGGUCAAUGGGCGAGAGCCUGAACCAGCCAAGUCGCGUGAGGGAGUACUGCCCUAUGGGUUGUAAACUUCUUUUAUAUGGAAAUAAAGUGCAGUAUGUAUACUGCUUUGCAUGUACUUUAUGAAGAAGGCUCGGCUAACUCCGUGCCAGCAGACGCGGUAAUACGGAGAAUUCGAGCGUUAUCCGGGUUUAGUGGGUUUAAAGGGAGCGUAGGCGGGUUGUUAAGUCAGUUGUGAAAGUGUGCGGCUCAACCGUAAAAUUGCAGUUGAUACUGGCAUCCUUGAGUACAGUCGAGGUAGGCGGAAUUCGUGGUGUAGCGGUGAAAUGCUUAGCUAUCACGAAGAACUCCGAUUGCGAAGGCAGCCUGCUGGACUGUAACUGACGCUGAUGCUCGAAAGUGUGGGUAUCAAACAGGAUUAGAUACCCGGGUAGUC